GGGGGUUUGCCCGAGUGGUUAAAGGGGGCGGACUGUAAAUCCGCUGACUAUGUCUACACUGGUUCGAAUCCAGUAGCCCCCACUA
rnacentral:tRNA from 2 species